AGCGAACGCUGGCGGCAGGCCUAACACAUGCAAGUCGAACGGACUCUUCGGAGUUAGUGGCGGACGGGUGAGUAACACGUGGGAACGUGCCUUUUGGUUCGGAAUAGCUCCUGGAAACGGGUGGUAAUGCCGAAUGUGCCCUUCGGGGGAAAGAUUUAUCGCCAUUAGAGCGGCCCGCGUCUGAUUAGCUAGUUGGUGAGGUAAAGGCUCACCAAGGCUACGAUCAGUAGCUGGUCUGAGAGGAUGACCAGCCACAUUGGGACUGAGACACGGCCCAAACUCCUACGGGAGGCAGCAGGGGGAAUCUUGCGCAAUGGGCGAAAGCCUGACGCAGCCAUGCCGCGUGUAUGAUGAAGGUCUUAGGGAUUGUAAAAUACUUUCACCGGUGAAGAUAAUGACUGUAGCCGGAGAAGAAGCCCC
rnacentral:rRNA from 1 species